GCAUCCUAUGUCCUUGGGAUUGAAAUCCAUAAAGAUGGAUCUUAUCACUUGUUUGGACUCUCUUAACGCGCAUACUUUAAUUGUAUGUUGAAUAUAUUUUACAUGAUUGAUUACAAAAGUGAAUAUAUGCCAAUUGUUAAAGUUGAUAAAUUGAAAUUGGCAUAACAUUCUAAAAUGAUGUUGAGAGGGAAUAUAUGGG
rnacentral:lncRNA from 1 species